CUCAGGACAAGAUGAGGGUCCGCGAUGUGUGGCUGGGCUUCAAGCGGCCCAGGAGCUGCCGGGCUUUCUCCUGCAUGAAGAGCUGGUCCCUGGUCCCCCCGCAGGCCACCGUCUUCCAGGCGCUGGUCAUCUGGGAGGAGAAGCCCCAAGUCUUUUUGUGCUCUCUCCACCUUCCCGGUGGCCCUGGGGAAGUCAUUCCCAUCUCAGCUGUAAAGCAAGGAGGAUGAGCCAGACAACACGGCCACCCUCCAUGCUCUCCGUGUGGCACCAGUCUCCACGUGAGGAAAAGCUGCAGCCACGGAGGCUGGUGAGGAGGAGGGGCGAGGAGUUCAUACAUACAGACGCUGAGAUCUGGACAGCCCAGGGCAGCCCCUGCCCUCAAGGACAGACACGUGCUAAGCCACCAAAUAGAGACAGUGACCUGAUUACAAGAGCUGGGCUGCCCUGAUGGAAGCCGGGGGCUGCCCAGCCCGACCGCCCCCAUCAGCCCCCUCCCUGCUGGCCCAGCACCCCGAAGCCGUCUGACAACCACCGGACCACUCCACCUCCAGGGCCCUCUCCACAGCUACAGGGUUCCAGGGGCAGAAGAGCCCUCGGCAGCUCUGGGCGGACUGGCUGAGUGCGCGGC